rnacentral:rRNA from 1 species
CCUUAAAACGGUAAAGCCGCGAAUGGCUCGGUAUAACAGCCACCGUUUAUUAGAUCUUAGUUAUCUACUUGGAUAACUGUGGCAAUUCUAGAGCUAAUACAUGCACGAAAGCUCGGACCUUAGGGAAAGAGCGCAUUUAUUAGACCAAAACCAAUCGGGCUUCGGCUUGUGUUUUGGUGACUCUGAAUAACUAAGUUGAUCGCACAGUCUUAGUACUGGCGACGUAUCUUUCAAAUGUCUGCCUUAUCAACUUUCGAUGGUAGGUUAUACGCCUACCAUGGUUAUAACGGGUAACGGAGAAUAAGGGUUCGACUCCGGAGAGGGAGCCUGAGAAAUGGCUACCACAUCCAAGGAAGGCAGCAGGCGCGCAAAUUACCCAAUCCCAGAAUGGGGAGGUAGUGACGAAAAAUAACGAGACAGUCCACUAUGUGGCCUGUCAUCGGAAUGGGUACGAUUUAAAAACUCUAACGAGGAUCUAUUAGAGGGCAAGUCUGGUGCCAGCAGCCGCGGUAAUUCCAGCUCUAAUAGCGUAUAUUAAAGUUGUUGUGGUUAAAACGCCCGUAGUUGGAUCUUCGGUCUUGAAGCUCGGUAGCUCGUAAGGGUUUAACUGAGUCUUCUGGCCUAAAUUUUAGUAUUCCGCUGAUGCUCUUUACUGAGUGUCUUUGGUUGCUAGAACGUUUACUUUGAAAAAAUUAGAGUGCUAAAAGCAGGCUUUACGCUUGAAUAAAGUGCAUGGAAUAAUGGAAUAGGACUUUAGUUUUAUUUUGUUGGUUUUCGAAAUUAAAGUAAUGAUUAAGAGGAACAGACGGGGGCAUUCGUAUUGUUGCGUUAGAGGUGAAAUUCUUGGAUCGCAGCAAGACGAACAACUGCG